rnacentral:rRNA from 1 species
ACAUGCCUACAACAUAGCAUUUAUGCACCGGAUCCCAUUAGAACUCCGUAGUUAAGUGCGCUUGGGCUAUAGUAGUACAAGAAUGGGUGAUCGCCCAGGUAGUCUUAGUGUUUUACAUGCC